rnacentral:rRNA from 1 species
AUUGAACGCUGGCGGCAUGCUUUACACAUGCAAGUCGAACGGUAACAGGCCGCAAGGUGCUGACGAGUGGCGAACGGGUGAGUAAUGCAUCGGAACGUGCCCAGUCGUGGGGGAUAACGCAGCGAAAGCUGCGCUAAUACCGCAUACGAUCUAGGGAUGAAAGCGGGGGACCGCAAGGCCUCGCGCUAUUGGAGCGGCCGAUGUCAGAUUAGGUAGUUGGUGGGGUAAAGGCUCACCAAGCCAACGAUCUGUAGCUGGUCUGAGAGGACGACCAGCCACACUGGGACUGAGACACGGCCCAGACUCCUACGGGAGGCAGCAGUGGGGAAUUUUGGACAAUGGGCGCAAGCCUGAUCCAGCAAUGCCGCGUGCAGGAAGAAGGCCUUCGGGUUGUAAACUGCUUUUGUACGGAACGAAACGGCUCUCUCUAAUACAGGGGGUUAAUGACGGUACCGUAAGAAUAAGCACCGGCUAACUACGUGCCAGCAGCCGCAGUAAAAC